GUGGGUAGGAUGGGACUACAUGCAGGGAGACAGGUAGGUGAUAGGAUGGGACUACAGGCAGGCAGACAGGUGGUGGGUAGGAUGGGACUACAGGCAGGGAGACAGGUAGGUAUUAGGAUGGGACUACAGGCAGGCAGACAGGUGGGUGGGU